AAAUUAAAUCCACGAUCGAGGAAAUGAGGAUCGGACAGAAACAUGUGUCUGAGAUGGGAGGGUUGUGAAAUAAUGUGGAAAAUGGUUUGGGCAGAGUGUGAGGGGCGAGGAGCAAACACCGUGUCACGUGGGCGACCCUCACCGUCACGUGAUUCUCUUUUACCGCAGAUCGGCAACAUCUGCGGGUUUGUCUCCGUGGCCCCGCCCCGGUCUAAUGACGCAAUACGAAAACUGCGCAUGCUCACAGCCGGGGAUGGGCUGCGACUUGUUUCCCCCCGUCUUUGUUGAAGCAGGUCCGGAGCGGUGGUUCGUCUGCGGAAUCCAGAUCGGGAGGGUGUCCUCGCCCCCUCGGGCGGGGAGCCGGGGGUUCGGAUCAUUCUCUCCGGAGCGAGGUCGACAAGAUCCAUGUUUAGACCUGCGGUGAGAGAUUUAUUUGAAGAAACAUUUGUUUCCACAACUGGAAACAAACCACGACCGAAGCUGAGGGAAAAGCAGCAAGUGAACCAGCCCGAGGAUUGAGAGCAUCAACUGGAGAGAACCCACCUGACUCUGAGAAUCCGGUGAUUCAGUCAGGAGAAAGUUUGCUGAGUGUUUACUCAAACACUGGUCCUUUAGACAUUACAUACCUGCACAAAGAAAGAGAAUCGGGGACUGAGAGGUGAACACAUCGAAAUGCACAACAUCAUUGCUGGUUGAACCAGGGAUCCCAGUCUCUGAAAAAGGGGGUGGACUGUUCGGGACUGAGAUGAGGGGAAAUGUCUCCACUCCGAGGCUGAGAAAUGUAUGUAAAUCCCCACCACAGAGGGCGGUGAAGACUCAGUGAUCGUCCUCACCUAAAACAGAGGCCGGCAGGUAUGUGGAGAACGAAGGGAUCGAGGAAAUACGGAUUGGGAAGGAAUAUGUAAUUAAGAUGGGAGAGCAGCCGCCAUCUUGUUAAUCACUGGAGGUGCUGAAUGUCCACCACCUGCUGUUUCCAAAUUGAUAUUUCAGUGUUCCUGUCCAGUAAGGCUGGAGGAUUGUGAAUAGAAAUUAGUGUUUAUAAAUAUAGACUGAUUUAAAUGAAUCCUCCACAUUUCUGGUUUGGGUCUGGAUUGUGUGCUGGACCGGGAUGUGAUUCGAACCCGUGGAUGUGUGAUCCAGUCGGGUGGAGUGAUGGGGACGGGGAAAUACAGAGGGAAAAUUAAAAAUGUAGCUCAGUGUAAAUAUGAAAUCAUGUAGAAAAUGGGGCGAUGGGUUGGGCAGCGUGUGAGGGGCGAGGAGCGGAGUAACGGGAUCACAUGGGAGACCCACCACACGUCAUUUCAUUUUGCCACAGAGCUCCAGCGUCUGCAGGUUUGUUUGCCCACCGCCCUGAUGAUGCAAUUCACGACGCGCAUGCUCAGUCCGGGAUGGGUGAUGAAUUUUCUUUGUGGAAGCAGAUCGGCGGUGGGAUUCGGGAGGGUGACCUCGCCCCUGGGGCGGAGAGCCCGAGACGGAAUAUUCUCUGCGAUGGGCAGCUGGGGGAAAAUCAGAUUCCCAUCGUUGAGUAUUGAUGCCAGUUUCGAGUCAGCAGGUCUCAGUGAGUCCCGUUAACUUCCCCAAACUGUUGUCCUCACUGAGUUACUUCUGAGAAAUGGAAAUAUCGGAGGAUUUAUUGACUACACCAGGAGGUACUGGAAAGACAGUAAUUUGUCAGACGGAGACUCCCAGUAUUUAAAGUUGAGUCUGUUGUUUCCUGUUCUGGUCAUUUUUGGAGAGCUACUUUCUCUGUUGCAAGGAACAGCCCACAGGAUCUGCAGGGAAUGGUGUACGUUUUUCUUUCUCGGGUCACUUCCCCUCAGUUAGAGUUAGUGGCCUCUGGAGCAGAUGGAACAGAUUGAUAGUGGGGUGGGGAGGAUGUUGUGUGCAUUAACUGCAUUAUCCCUGUACAGUGUUGGUUUGAAGAGAAAACUAAUGAAUGUGGGCAUGACAUGCGUGCAAGUUUGUUCAGGCCGUCACUAGGGAUGUCCUUUGGCACCGAAGUUGCUCAUACUGGCCAUAGAACUCCUGGCUAUGGCAAUAAGAAAGCAGACAGUCCUGUCAGGCAUCCAGCUAGGAGAGCAGGAACAUAGAAUAUCCUUAUAUGCUGAUGACAUGAUUCUCUUUUUUAACAAAAUUAUCGGUAGAAUUCCAAACUUAAUGCAAUAGAUUGAAUUGUGACUUAAGAUCAGACAAUGUUAAAUGUUUGUGGGUGGAGUUAAGAAACUGCAAGAGUUAAAAGAAAAGAAACAUUAUUAAAAUCAUAUAUACGCCUCCAAAUAGCAGCCAACAUGUGGGGUUGAUAUUGUUAUGCGAGGUUCAAGAGGCAUUUAAUAAGGAUAAUGUCACAAUUGUAAUGGGGGACAUCAAAAUGCAAGGGGAUUGGAAAAAAUCAGGUUGGUGUUGGAACACAAAAGAGGGAAUUUGUUGAAUACCUUUGAGAUUGUUUUUUUUUUAAGAAGAUUGUUCUUGAGUCUACUCAGGGAAAGGCUUUCUUAGAUUGGGCUUAAGAUAGAUAUGUCCCACAAAAUAAGUCCUCCUCAGAUGGCAGGAGUAGGCAACUUUGUCUGACGUGAAGUUAAAGACUGCAUAAAGGCAAAGGAAAUGCCAUAUAAGUUAGCAUAACUGAAUGGGAAAUGGGCUGAUUAAAAUCCAGCAAAAGGCAACUAAGAAAAGCUAGAAGAAGGGAAAAGAUGAAAUACAAGGUCAAACUAACCAAUAAUAUAAAGCAGGAUAAUAAGCUUUUCUCCCCCCAGUUAUAUAAACAGUAAAAGGGAGGUGCGAGUUGAUGAUAGAACACUGUAAAAUGCUGGUGGUAGAGACAGUAAUGAGGGACAAAGGAAUGUCAGAGGAUGGGUAAUUUGCAUCAGUCCACUGUCGAAGACGGAAGCAGUGUGCGUGAGUUACAAAGGAAAAACGUGCUGAGUAAGCUCAAAGGUCUUAAGGUGGGUAUAUCACCUGGACCAGAUCGACUACAUCCCAAAGCCCUGAGAAAAAUUGCUGUAGAAGUAACGGUCACGAUCUUUCGAGACUCAUUUGAUUCUGGUCAUGGUCCUGGAGAGCUGGAAGAUUGUAAAUGUUAGUCCACUCUUAAAGAAUGGAGAAAAGGAUAUUAUAGGUCAGUUAACUGGCACAUGACCAAGUGGUUAUGGCGUUGGUCUAGUGAUCUGAAGAUAGUUCGAGCCUCAGCUAAGACAGCAUGUUGAGUCCUUGAGCAAGGAACUUAACCACACAUUGUUCUGCGACGACACCCGUGCCAAGCUGUAUCGGGCAUUGCCCUUCCCUUGGACAACAUCAGUGGUAUGGAGUUGGGAGACUUACAGCAUGGGCAACUGCCGGUCUCCCAUGCAACCCUACCCAGGCCUGCACCCUGGAAACUUUCCAAGGCGCAAAUCCAUUGUCUCUCACACUAACGGGUAACUAACUGGACUGCAGGGGAUGGGAAGGUGUAGGAGGCUAUCAUUAAGAAAGAUGUUUAGGGUUUCCUGGAGAAUGAUAGUAAAACAACUCAAAGUUAGCAUGGUUCCUCUGAAGGGGAAUCUUACUAGACAAACCUGUUAGAGUACUUUGAGGAAGUAACACGCAGGGUGCACAAAGGAGAAGUAGUGGAUGACACGCUGAUUUUCAGAAGGUAUUUUUUUGAAAUGUCACUUCUGAGGCUAUUUAACAAGCUAAUAUACAAUGACUUUACUGCUAAGGUACUAGCAUUAAUGUAGGAAUGCUGAACAGGCAGGAAGCGGUGUGUGGGGAAAAAAAAGGGGGGACUUUUCUCUUGAAGAGUGGUGUUCCUCAGGGGCCGGUAUUGCAACAGUUACUUUUCACAUUGUGUAUCGUUAAUUUGUUAAUGGAAUUCAUUGCUCGUGGCAAAGUUUAUGCAUGACACGAAGAUAGGUGGAGGGACAGGUAGUGAUGAGGAAUUAAUGAGAUUGGAGCAGGAUUAGACAAUAUGGAAUGAAAUGUGAAAACAUAGGCAGAAGUAAUACAGGGCUGGGAAAUGAAUGAUAUCCCAUUUUGCAGAAGGACAAUAGUGUGGGCUAUGUUCUAAAUGAGAAGGUUCAAACAUUCCAGGUGCAGAGAGUCAUCAUGCAAGACAACCAGAAAGUAACAUUUACAGAUCUGUUGUAAAGAAGGCAAAUGCAAAGUUGACAUUUAUUUCAAGUGGAAUAGAAUAGAAAAGCAAAGAGAAAAUACAGAGGCUUUGUAAGACAAGUCAGGCUGCUCUUUGUUAUCAUCAGGCUCACAAAUAUGAUUCUGGGAAUAAAGGGGUCAACAUAUCAGGACCGUUUGGCAGGCUUGGGCCAGUACUCACUGGAAUUUAGAAGAUUGCAGAGGGAGACCAUUGAAACAUCUUGAAUGUUGAAAAGACAUGUCCUGCGGAUAU